rnacentral:rRNA from 1 species
UACGGGGGGUGCGAGCGUUGUCCGGAAUCACUGGGCGUAAAGGGCGCGUAGGUGGCCUGAUAAGGGUGUGGUGAAAGUCCGGGGCUCAACCCCGGAUCUGCCGUGCCGACUGUUGGGCUGGAGUACUGUAGGGGCAGGCGGAAUUCCGGGUGUAGCGGUGGAAUGCGUAGAGAUGUGGAGGAACACCGAUGGCAAAGGCAGCCCCCUGGGCUAACACUGACGCUCAUGCACGAAAGCGUGGGGAGCAAACAGG